rnacentral:rRNA from 1 species
GACGAACGCUGGCGGCAUGCCUAAUACAUGCAAGUCGAGCGGACUUGAUGAGAAGCUUGCUUCUCUGAUGGUUAGCGGCGGACGGGUGAGUAACACGUAGGCAACCUGCCCUCAAGCUUGGGACAACUACCGGAAACGGUAGCUAAUACCGAAUACUUGUUUUCUUCGCCUGAAGGGAACUGGAAAGACGGAGCAAUCUGUCACUUGAGGAUGGGCCUGCGGCGCAUUAGCUAGUUGGUGAGGUAACGGCUCACCAAGGCGACGAUGCGUACCCGACCUGAGAGGGUGAUCGGCCACACUGGGACUGAGACACGGCCAAACUUCUACGGGAGGCAGCAGUAGGGAAUCUUCCAAUGGGCGAAAGCCUUACCGAGCAAUGCCGCGUGAGUGAUGAAGGUUUUCGGAUCGUAAAGCUCUGUUGCCAGGGAAGAACGCUCAGGAGAGUAACUGCUCCUGAGGUGACGGUACCUGAGAAGAAAGCCCCGGCUAACUACGUGCC